rnacentral:rRNA from 1 species
CAAGUCGAGCGAUGAAACUACUUCGGUAGUGAAUUAGCGGCGAACGGGUGAGGAACACGUGAGGAAUCUGCCUUCAACACUGGGAUAACUCCGGGAAACCGGGGCUAAUACCGGAUAUGAGCUCUGAUCGCAUGGUCGGGGCUGUAAAGUUUUUCGGUUGAAGAUGACCUCGCGGCCUAUCAGCUUGUUGGUGAGGUAAUGGCUCACCAAGGCGACGACGGGUAGCCGGCCUGAGAGGGCGACCGGCCACACUGGGACUGAGACACGGCCCAGACUCCUACGGGAGGCAGCAGUGGGGAAUAUUGGGCAAUGGAGGAAACUCUGACCCAGCGACGCCGCGUGCGGGAUGAAGGCCUUCGGGUUGUAAACCGCUUUCAGUAGGGAAGAAGCGAAAGUGACGGUACCUACAGAAGAAGCACCGGCUAACUAUGUGCCAGCAGCCGCGGUAAUACAUAGGGUGCAAGCGUUGUCCGGAAUUAUUGGGCGUAAAGAGCUCGUAGGUGGUUUGAUACGUCGGGUGUGAAAUUCAGGGGCUCAACCCCUGACCUGCAUUCGAUACGGUCAAGCUAGAGUUUGGUAGGGGAGACUGGAAUUCCUGGUGUAGCGGUGGAAUGCGCAGAUAUCAGGAGGAACACCGAUGGCGAAGGCAGGUCUCUGGGCCAAUACUGACACUGAGGAGCGAAAGCGUGGGGAGCGAACAGGAUUAGAUACCCUGGUAGUCCACGCCGUAAACGGUGGGCGCUAGUUGUGCGAACCUUCCACGGUUUGUGCGACGCAGCUAACGCAUUAAGCGCCCCGCCUGGGGAGUACGAUCGCAAGAUUAAAACUCAAAGGAAUUGACGG